rnacentral:rRNA from 1 species
UACGAGGGGGGCAAGCGUUGUUUGGAAUUACUGGGCGUAAAGCGUGCGCAGGCGGCUUUGCAAGACAGAUGUGAAAUCCCCGGGCUUAACCUGGGAACUGCAUUUGUGACUGCAUGGCUGGAGUGCGGCAGAGGGGGAUGGAAUUCCGCGUGUAGCAGUGAAAUGCGUAGAUAUGCGGAGGAACACCGAUGGCGAAGGCAAUCCCCUGGGCCUGCACUGACGCUCAUGCACGAAAGCGUGGGGAGCAAACAGG